rnacentral:rRNA from 1 species
GACGAACGCUGGCGGCGUGCCUAAUACAUGCAAGUCGAGCGAUGAAGCUUGGUGCUUGCACCCAUUUGAAAAGCAGCGAACGGGUGAUUAACGCGUGGGGAACCUGCCUUUGAGCAGGGGAAAACAUUUGGACACGAAUGCUAAUACCGCAUAACAACUUUAAGCAUAUGUUUUAAGUGUGAAAGAGGCAGUUGCAUCACCCACAGAUGAUACCGCGUUGGAUUAGCUUGUUGGUGAGGUAAAGGCUCACCAAGGCGAGGAUACAUAGCCGACCUGCGACGGGGGGCCGCCGACUUGGGACGGGGACACGGCCCAAACGCCCACGGGAGGCAGCAGGAGGGAAUCUUCGGGCAGGGGCGGAAGUCGUGCCGAGCAACGCCGCGGGCGUGAAGAAGGGUGUCGGAUCGGAAAACUCGGUUUGUAGAGAAGAACGGUGUUGAGAGUGGAAAGCUCAUCAAGUGACGGUAACUACCCAGAAAGGGACGGCUAACUACGUG